UACGUAGGGUGCAAGCGUUGUCCGGAUUUACUGGGCGUAAAGGGCGCGUAGGCGGCAAUUCAAGUCAGUUGUGAAAUCUCCGAGCUUAACUCGGAACGGUCAACUGAUACUGUUUUGCUAGAGUGCAGAAAGGGCAACCGGAAUUCUUGGUGUAGCGGUGAAAUGCGUAGAUAUCAGGAGGAACACCGGUGGUGUAGACGGCUUUCUGGACCGUAACUGACGCUGAGACACGAAAGCGUGGGUAGCGAACAGG
rnacentral:rRNA from 1 species